rnacentral:tRNA from 1 species
GCGGAAUAGCUCAGGGUUGUAGCGCAACCUUGCCAAGGUUGAGGUCGCGAGUUCGAGCCUCGUUUCCUGCC